rnacentral:rRNA from 1 species
GAUGAACGCUGGCGGCGUGCCUAAUACAUGCAAGUCGAGCGAACAGACGAGGAGCUUGCUUCUCUGACGUUAGCGGCGGACGGGUGAGUAACACGUGGAUAACCUACCUAUAAGACUGGGAUAACUUCGGGAAACCGGAGCUAAUACCGGAUAAUAUAUUGAACCGCAUGGUUCAAUAGUGAAAGACGGUUUUGCUGUCACUUAUAGAUGGAUCCGCGCCGCAUUAGCUAGUUGGUAAGGUAACGGCUUACCAAGGCAACGAUGCGUAGCCGACCUGAGAGGGUGAUCGGCCACACUGGAACUGAGACACGGUCCAGACUCCUACGGGAGGCAGCAGUAGGGAAUCUUCCGCAAUGGGCGAAAGCCUGACGGAGCAACGCCGCGUGAGUGAUGAAGGUCUUCGGAUCGUAAAACUCUGUUAUUAGGGAAGAACAAAUGUGUAAGUAACUAUGCACGUCUUGACGGUACCUAAUCAGAAAGCCACGGCUAACCACGUG